rnacentral:rRNA from 1 species
AUGGUUAGGUGGUCUGAGGUCUGCAAGCCUCGCGACCAGGGCGGACUCGGGAUUAUGUCAUCCAAACGCAUGAACAUUGCCCUCCUGACUCGGUCGCUUUGGCGGAUUGCCAACGUAGAUGGUGGCCUGUGGCUUCGCAUCAUUCAGCAGAAAUACCUCCGAGGCCAGCCUCUCGCUUUCUGCCAGCGAUCUGGGGGAUCCCAAUUCUGGCAAUCCGUCAUCUAG